GUUCUGCUUGGCCUUGCUAUUACAUCAUUGAAAGUCGCUUCUUUGUGGCUUUGUCUAUUUCAAACCUCUGGUCUGCAUUUUGAUUUUGUGGAAAGCCGCCGGCUGUUCUUUACUGAGUGGUCGGAUUUUUCGGAGUUCCACACGUUUACUUUGAGUAAAUUAGAGUGUUCAAAGCAGGCUUAUGCCGUGAAUACGUUAGCAUGGAAUAAUGGAACAGGACUUUGGUCAUGUUUUGUUGGUUUUGAGGACCGAAGUAAUGAUUAAUAGGGAUAGUUGGGGGCAUUCGUAUUUCAUUGUCAGAGGUGAAAUUCUUGGAUUUAUGAAAGACGAACUAAUGCGAAAGCAUCUGCCAAGGAUGUUUUCAUUAACCAAGAACGAAAGUUAGGGGAUCGAAGACGAUCAGAUACCGUCGUAGUCUUAACCAUAAACGAUGCCGACCAGGGAUCGGGCGAUGUUUAUUCAUAUGACUCGCUCGGCACCAUUGGAGAAAUCAGAGUCUUUGGGUUCCGGGGGGAGUAUGGUCGCAAGGCUGAAACUUAAAGGAAUUGACGGAAGGGCACCACCAGGAGUGGAGCCUGCGGCUUAAUUUGACCCAACACGGGGAAACUCACCAGGUCCAGACAUAGGAAGGAUUGACAGAUUGAGAGCUCUUUCUUGAUUCUAUGGGUGGUGGUGCAUGGCCGUUCUUAGUUGGUGGAGUGAUUUGUCUGGUUAAUUCCGAUAACGAACGAGACCUCAGCCUGCUAAAUAGCUACGCUCAUAUUCACCUCUUUUGGCUUGCCUUAAGAGUUGAUGGGCGGUAAUGCUUCUUAGAGUGACUAUCGGUGACUAACCGAUGGAAGUUUGAGGCAAUAACAGGUCUGUGAUGCCCUUAGAUGUCCUGGGCCGCACGCGCGCUACACUGACGAAGUCACCGGGUUUAUAACCUUGGCCGACAGGUCUGGGUAAUCCUUUUAAACUUCGUCGUGAUGGGGAUUGACUAUUGCAAUUAUUAGUCAUGAACGAGGAAUUCCUAGUAAGCGUGAGUCAUCAGCUUGCGCUGAUUACGUCCCUGCCCUUUGUACACACCGCCCGUCGCUCCUACCGAUUGGAUGCUCCGGUAAGAUUUCCGGAUUGGGAACAUUAUGUUUAACCACAUUUUGUUUCUGAGAAGUUACUCAAACCUUAGCAUCUGGAGGAAGGAGAAGUC
rnacentral:rRNA from 1 species